CAAGUCGAGCGGACAGAAGGGAGCUUGCUCCCGGAUGUUAGCGGCGGACGGGUGAGUAACACGUGGGUAACCUGCCUGUAAGACUGGGAUAACUCCGGGAAACCGGAGCUAAUACCGGAUAGUUCCUUGAACCGCAUGGUUCAAGGAUGAAAGACGGUUUCGGCUGUCACUUACAGAUGGACCCGCGGCGCAUUAGCUAGUUGGUGAGGUAACGGCUCACCAAGGCGACGAUGCGUAGCCGACCUGAGAGGGUGAUCGGCCACACUGGGACUGAGACACGGCCCAGACUCCUACGGGAGGCAGCAGUAGGGAAUCUUCCGCAAUGGACGAAAGUCUGACGGAGCAACGCCGCGUG
rnacentral:rRNA from 1 species